GUGUGUAAGUGCUGUGAGGCAUUGAGCUAACUGGUACUAAUGAUCCGUGUGGCUUGACCAUAUAACACCCAAG
rnacentral:rRNA from 1 species